rnacentral:rRNA from 1 species
CCUACGGGAGGCUGCAGUGGGGAAUAUUGGACAAUGGGCGAAAGCCUGAUCCAGCCAUGCCGCGUGUGUGAAGAAGGCCUUCGGGUUGUAAAGCACUUUCAGUGGGGAAGAAAGCCUUGGGGCUAAUACCCUCGAGGAAGGACAUCACCCACAGAAGAAGCACCGGCUAACUCCGUGCCAGCAGCCGCGGUAAUACGGAGGGUGGAGCGUUAAUCGGAAUUACUGGGCGUAAAGCGCGCGUAGGCGGUCUGAUAAGCCGGUUGUGAAAGCCCCGGGCUCAACCUGGGAACGGCAUCCGGAACUGUCAGGCUAGAGUGCAGGAGAGGAAGGUAGAAUUCCCGGUGUAGCGGUGAAAUGCGUAGAGAUCGGGAGGAAUACCAGUGGCGAAGGCGGCCUUCUGGACUGACACUGACGCUGAGGUGCGAAAGCGUGGGUAGCAAACAGGAUUAGAUACCCCGGUAGUC